rnacentral:rRNA from 1 species
GUAGGGAAUAUUGGGCAAUGGAGGCAACUCUGACCCAGCCAUGCCGCGUGCAGGAUGACGGCCCUCUGGGUUGUAAACUGCUUUUAUACGGGAAGAAAAAAUACUACGUGUAGUAUACUGACGGUACCGUAAGAAUAAGGAUCGGCUAACUCCGUGCCAGCAGCCGCGGUAAUACGGAGGAUCCAAGCGUUGUCCGGAUUUAUUGGGUUUAAAGGGUGCGUAGGCGGAUCUUUAAGUCAGUGGUGAAAGCCUGCAGCUUAACUGUAGAAUUGCCAUUGAAACUGAAGAUCUUGAAUGUGGUUAAAGUAGGCGGAAUGUAUCAUGUAGCGGUGAAAUGCUUAGAUAUGAUACAGAACACCGAUAGCGAAGGCAGCUUGCUGAACCAUUAUUGACGCUGAGGCACGAAAGCGUGGGGAGCGAACAGGAUUAGAAACCCAGGUAGUCC